UUUGAAUUUAAAUUAAUAUAUUAUAAAGAUAAUGUUAGUAUAUUAAUUUGAUUACAUUUUUUAUAUCCACCUGAACCAAACACCGACAAUGGAAAUGAUUUAUUCUGAUUUCGAUUCAGGUGAUGAACCAAACAGAAUUAGGUAAUGAGUCAUUCCGAUUCCGAUUCCAACUUAUUUUGAUUCCGAUUCCGAUUUCGAUUCCGACUUCGAACCAAACGCGCCCCUAGAGUUAAAAUCUGUUAAUUAACUCUGUUAUCUCUGUAAAAUUACUAUUUUGCCAUUUCAAAUAUACCCUUCCACUAUCACUGACUUUUUUAUUUGUCCUUAAAGUCUGUUAAAAUCUGUUAAUUAACUCUAUUAUCUAUGUAAAAUUACUAUUUUGCCCUUUCAAAUAUACCCUUCCACUAUCACUGACUUUCUUAUUUGUCUUUAAAGUUGUUAAAAUUUGUUAAUUAACUCUGUUAUCUCUGUAAAAUUACUAUUUUGCCCUUUCAAAUAUACCCUUCCACUAUCACCGACUUUCUUAUUUGUCCUUAAAGUCAGGGGCAUUUUGACUUUUGGUCUUUUCCAAUAUGCCCCUUUACCGUCACCAACACUUCUUAUUUGCUCUUAAGUUAAGAGCAAAAUUGGUAUUUUAAUUUUUUUAACUGUGGUAGAUAUUUAACUCACGUUUAGCCCAAGUUAACUUAACAGGAGAUAACUGUGGGGGUAUUUUGUAAUAACAGUGGAACAUAUGAGGGAUAUUUUAGAAAGAAAAAAAAGAAUAAAUUAGAUAUUUUCAAACGUAUGAGAAGUAUAUAGGCAAUUAUCCAUAAAAUCAAUAGAUAAGAUAGUAUAUAGAUGAAUAUUCACCUAUUAUAUCAUGCAGAUAUUUAAUCCAUUAAAUGUUGAAAGUGAAAAUUGAACUCAUGAUCUUACAAAAUGAGAAGUUGCGCUCACACGAGAUGGAGAUUUAACUUAUUAUAUAAUACAAAAAAUUAACCUAUUAAAUAUUAAAGUUAGGGAUUUAACUCAUGAUCUCACAGAACAAAAAAAAUUUGGAAUUAAUUCAAAUACCAUAUUAACUAAAAGAUCGAAGUAGCGGUCUCAACUAGAAGUGUGAAAUAACUAGAUUUCAAAUUUGAAAUCUCGGAUACCAAUUAUCCCUUAAUUAGUUAUGCUAGAUA
rnacentral:lncRNA from 1 species